rnacentral:rRNA from 1 species
UGAGAUAUCCCAGGAGUGAUCCUAAGACCCCUUGGAGAGUACGAGGUAGAUAGGCAUGAGGUGUAAGCACAGCAAUGUGUUCAGCUGACAUGUACUAAUCGGUCGAGGGCUUAACCAC